AAUAUGGCAGAAGGUGAGGGGCCAGAGAAAAAAAGAAGGAGACUAGAGGAGCUGCUGGCUGAGAAAAUGGCUGUUGAUGGGGGGUGGGGGGACACU